rnacentral:lncRNA from 1 species
UUCCCUUUGUCAUCCUAUGCCUGGAGAUCAUGAUAAGGCAGGGACAGCAAAGGGAUGCUCAGCUGUCACCUCUGACUUCAACUACGCUGACAUUAAUACUGUGUCUGAGGCCUAUGAAGACCACAUGCUAGCUACAGGCAGCACUGCUGUGUAUGAGGACCACAUACUAGCUACCGGCAGCACUGCUGUGUAUGAGGACCACAUGCUAUCUACAGGCAGCACUGCUGUGUAUGAGGACCACAUGCUAGCUACAGGCAGCGCUACUGUGUAUGAGGACCACAUACUAGCUACAGGCAGCACUGCUGUGUAUGAGGACCACAUGUUAGCUACAGGCAGCACUGCUGUGUAUGAGGACCACAUGCUAGCUACAGGCAGAACUGCUGUGUAUGAGGACCACAUGCUAGCUACAGGCAGCACUGCUGUGUAUGAGGACCACAUACUAGCUACAGGCAGCACUGCUGUGUAUGAGGACCACAUGCUAGCUACAGGAAGCACUGCUGUGUAUGAGGACCACAUGCUAGCUACAGGCAGCGCUGCUGUGUAUGAGGACCACAUGCUAGCUACAGGCAGCACUGCUGUGUAUGAAGACCACAUGUUAGCUACAGGCAGCGCUGCUGUGUAUGAGGACCACAUGCUAGCUACAGGCAGCACUGCUGUGUAUGAGGACCACAUGCUAGCUACAGGCAGCACUGCUGUGUAUGAGGACCACAUGCUAGCUACAGGAAGCACUGCUGUGUAUGAGGACCACAUGCCAGCUACAGGCAGCACUUAGGAAAAAAAACUAAAAAACUAAGUCUGUGGAAAUGGGAGCUUUUCUUUGCUGCUAUUUGUCUUUAUCGUCAUUAUAACAUGUUGUUGUGUAUGUCUCUGCCAGGUUAGGGGUCAGGGGUCAUGUUGUUGUGUAUGUCUCUGCCAGGUCAGGGGUCAGGGGUCAUGUUGUUGUGUAUGUCUCUGCCAGGUUAGGGGUCAUGUUGUUGUGUAUGUCUCUGCCAGGUCAGGGGUCAGGGGGUCAUGUUGUUGUGUAUGUCUCUGCCAGGUUAGGGGUCAGGGGUCAUGUUGUUGUGUAUGUCUCUGCCAGGUCAGGGGUCAUGUUGUUGUGUAUGUCUC